rnacentral:rRNA from 1 species
GAUGAACGCUGGCGGCGUGCCUAAUACAUGCAAGUCGAGCGAACGGACGAGAAUCUUGCUUCUCUGAUGUUAGCGGCGGACGGGUGAGUAACACGUGGAUAACCUACCUAUAAGAAUGGGAUAACUUCGGGAACCCGGAGCUAACACCGGACGAUAUUUUGAACCGCAUGGUUCAAAAGUGAAAGACGGUCUUGCUGUCACUUAUAGAUGGAUCCGCGCUGCAUUAGCUAGUUGGUACGGUAACGGCUUACCAAGGCAACGAUGCAUAGCCGACCUGAGAGGGUGAUCGGCCACACUGGAACUGAGACACGGUCCAGACUCCUACGGGAGGCAGCAGUAGGGAAUCUUCCGCAAUGGGCGAAAGCCUGACGGAGCAACGCCGCGUGAGUGAUGAAGGUCUUCGGAUCGUAAAACUCUGUUAUUAGGGAAGAACAUAUGUGUAAGUAACUGUGCACAUCUUGACGGUACCUAAUCAGAAAGCCCCGGCUAACUACGUG